rnacentral:SRP_RNA from 1 species
GCUGGGCAUGGUGGCAUAUGCCUGUAGUCUCAGCUACUUGGGAGGCUGAGGCUGGAGGAUCUCUUUAGUCCACAAGUUCUGGGCUGUAGUGUGCUAUGCCGAUCGGAUGUCCGCACAAAGUUCAGCAUCAAUAAUGGUAACCUCCCGGCAGCAGGGGACAACCAGGUUGCCUAAGGAGGGAUGAACCGGCCCAAUUCGGAAACAGAGCAAGUCAAAACUCCCAUGCUGAUCAGUAGUGGGAUUGCGCCUGAGAAUAGCCACUGCACUCCAGCCUGGGCAACAUAGUGAGACUCUGGGGUCUCU